rnacentral:rRNA from 1 species
UACGUAGGGUGCGAGCGUUGUCCGGAAUUAUUGGGCGUAAAGAGCUCGUAGGCGGUCUGUCACGUCGGCUGUGAAAUCCCGAGGCUCAACCUCGGGUCUGCAGUCGAUACGGGCAAACUAGAGUAUUGCAGGGGAGACUGGAAUUCCUGGUGUAGCGGUGAAAUGCGCAGAUAUCAGGAGGAACACCGGUGGCGAAGGCGGGACUCUGGGCCGAUACUGACGCUGAGGAGCGAAAGCGUGGGGAGCAAACAGG